AGCGAACGCUGGCGGCAGGCUUAACACAUGCAGGUCGAACGGAUCCUUCGGGAUUAGUGGCGGACGGGUGAGUAACACGUGGGAACGUGCCUUUUGGUUCGGAACAACACAGGGAAACUUGUGCUAAUACCGGAUGUGCCCUUCGGGGGAAAGAUUUAUCGCCAUUAGAGCGGCCCGCGUCUGAUUAGCUAGUUGGUGAGGUAAAGGCUCACCAAGGCUACGAUCAGUAGCUGGCUGAGAGGAUGAUCAGCCACACUGGGACUGAGACACGGCCCAGACUCCUACGGGAGGCAGCAGGUGGGGAAUCUUGCGCAAUGGGGGAAACCCUGACGCAGCCAUGCCGCGUGAAUGAUGAAGGUCUUA
rnacentral:rRNA from 1 species